CAUCAUAAUUUCAACACUAGUAGUUCUUGUUUUUUUUGUGAAAUACUUUUGUUUCUGUGUAAGUAAAAUAAUGUAAGUAUAAAAUAAAUCUAGGAUGUUUGGAAAAGCUGAGUUAAAAUUCCUCCGAACAGCAGUUGGGAAAUCCUUAAAAAAUGAAAUUCUCAUAGGGGACUAAUAACUUCAUCCUGAUCUGCACUUGCAUCAUGAGAUCAGAAUACAACACAUGCAGUGUUUUGAUUACAAAACGCAGGGUCUCACAGAGUUGCCAUGACUGAAAACUUUCCUGAUUAGCUUAUGUUGAGUCAUUUUUGUCAGAUAAAGCCCUCUCACACUUUGUUAUUGUUUAUAUUGAUUAGUGGGAGGAACAGUCAUAUCAAUUAUAUGUCAUAUCUACAUUGCACAACCGCAAAUUACCAUCCUGAAGGCCGCUUCUUCCAUUUAGCCACAGCCAAGAAAGUGUACUAUGUCUGAGUGCAGAGCAGAACACUCAUACUAGUUAAACAAACUGGAGACUGAGGGUCAAACAUGUUUGGGAACAGUACAGGUUGUGAGUAUGCCCUUAGAUAUCUUAACAUAAUGUGGUGGUUUUGGGUUUUGGGUUUUAUUUUGGUUUUAUUUUGGUGACUACUUCCUGUUCCGGUGCUUAUGUUACUUUGGGUAACUUCACUGUGCUCUCUCCGAGGCUCUUGCUGCACACGGUGCUGAGGUGGAUUGGACGCACCUGACGCUCAUUGGCAAUCAGCAGGACUACAAGACGGCCAUCCACUGUCACCUCAGUGCCAGAAUAUCCCAGCCUCUGCAGCGUGCCUCACUCCCUGCCACAAUCCAGCCCUACCACGAGCACUCUCACUCCAUUACCCUGGCACUUACCUGGACUCCUGGAUUCCCCCCUCCCCUUUGCAGUAUUCCAAUCCUGUGUGUGUAAAUAAACCUUUAAAACUUCA